UUUUUGUAGAAGAACAUCUUUGAACAUAAAAGGGAGGUUGUUGGUCCCUAUUUGGAGCAUGGGAAUCAUUGGACAUUUUUUCAUAGUAAUAUUGUGGACCGGAGUAUAACGUACCUAAACUCACUAGGGGAACAGGAUGAGCAGUACUCUAAAAUAGAAAAGAAUUGGAGUGCCUUUGCUGCAUCAAAAGGCUACCUGGGGCCAUGGAAAAGGAUAAAGCGGGAACAUACCCUUCAGACUGAUAGUAUUUCAUGUGGCAUUUUCACAGCUGUGUUUGCUGAGAUCUUUCUAGAAGGCAAGGAGGAGUAUCUUGCUUGCCCAUCUGUAGAGCAAGAGAGGGAACGACUAGGGUUACUUCUUUUCAAUUCACUUGAUAAGUCGGGUAUUUGUGGUAUCUGUCACCAGAGUGUGUCUGUGAAGAACAAGGCAAGUGACACAGAUAUUUUAAUUUUUAAUUAAAUUUAAUGUUACAUGGUUUUAAAUCUAAAAAUAAAGAACCUAAACAGAUGAUAAUUUAAAUAAAAUCCUUUAAAUUCCAGUUUACUUCGUGCCUUUUGGGCUAAUUUGCCAUGUACAACUUGCUAAUUGGGUAGUAAAAUUGCAUUUUAAAAUACAAUAAAAAA